GAUUCUUCACAACGAAUAUCUCGGCUCAUGCAUCGAUGAAAAGCGUAGCAAAAUGCGAUACUCGGUGUGAAUUGAAGAAUCCCGUGAACCAUCGAGUCUUUGAACGCAAGUUGCGCUCAAAGCCAUUAGGUUGAGGGCAUGUCUGCCUUGGGCGUCU